UGGAUUCACAUUUCAUGGAAUGUGCUGGAUGCAGUGUGGAGCUCCUGGUCCAGACACUGGGAGAGAAGGCUGUCAGUAGAGCGAUUAGGGAGCAGGAACAGGCAUUGACAGCUUUGUCCCAGCCAGCUCAGCUGCGGAUGGAGGCUGUGCACUGUGCUGUUGGGAGGGUGGCAUGCAGGAAUUGGUCCCCCCUCAUGAAACCCACACAGCUGAUCUGGAUCCUGAGUGGGUCCUGUACAACCCUGCCUUUCCUUUGGUCUGGAUGUGACCCCUAUUGAUAUCUCAUGCUCCUGCCACCAGUCACUGGUUUGCCAUGUUCAUGGGUCUCUGCUCUGUUUCAGGAGCAGAGGUGAACGAAGGGAACGGCCUGAGAAAGGUAAGAGAUUUCUGGUUUUAUGGUUUCUGGCUUGAGAUUAGGUUCAGUGCUUAGCAUGCCUGGGAGAAAAGCUGUUGCCAGCAACCAUCCUCAGCCUCAUGUGUGCUGGUGCUCCAGCAUCAAACCCACACCAGAGGAUGGGUUGUGAGUCCCACUGAGCGACGUGGUGGCCCCUGCCCUCUGCUUUCCUGCUCUGUGUGCCCUGCCCAGAGCUGGGGGAGCCACGUCGCUGGUGGGACUUGCUCCUUCCCAGGUGCCGUGGGAGGAAGAAGUGGGUGCUUCUGGUACUGAAAUGGGUGAUGUGGAUUCUCCUUUUCAGCCGGUGUGUGGAGAGAUGGUGGAGCUGCAGGUCUGCCCCCUCGUGUACUUGCCUGUCUGUGGGACUGAUGGGAACACCUAUGCCAAUGAAUGCCAGCUCUGUGUGCAGCGAAUGAGAACCAGGCAAGACAUCCAGAUUUUGAAAAAUGGGAACUGUCGAGACAUCUGAGCUUUCAUGAGCCCAGGAACAGGUGAUUAAUUGAUCCUGUGUGCUCUGUACUGAUUGCACGUUAAAGUUAGGGAUGGUGAAUAAUAAAAUGAUGGGCACAGUCUUA